AGGGAUCGAAGAGAUCCAUUCUUGGGAAAUUCUGGCAAGGAACCAUGAAGUUCCGGAUUAAGGGAAAGGUCAAGAGUUUGUAGAGUAGGUACCUGAAAGAUCUGCUUCGGAAAUGUUCCACGUAACCCACAAUCACGUAGACUCAAGGUAGUCAACUUUGAAAACUUGGCAAAGAACCCUGGAACCGGAGCAGAGAUAUUGUUUCCGUCCAAUUUCAACACCGUUAGGUUUGAAAAGUUGGAAAAGAAUUCUGGAAUUGGACCGGAGAUAUUGUUUCUGUCCAAGUUCAACACCGUCAGGUUUGAAAAGUUGGAAAAGAAUUCUAGAAUCGGACCGGAGAUGUGUUGGCUGCUAAUGUCAAGACCAACAACACGCCCGUUGCUACUGCAAGUAACACCGAGCCAAGAACAACAGUCUGUACUUGAAUCCCACGAUACAAACUUGGAAGAAACCGGAGAAUAUCCGAUUGAGAGGUUUUUCUUCAAAUGGAGCAAUGACAGUUGCUGGUCUUUGAGACACUGGCUGUAGACUCCAGUUGUGACAUUAUGACAGAUAGUGAAGAACAACAGGAGGACAAAAGAUUGUAAAGUUUUCAUUUUUGCUAGCAGAGUAAGGAAAGCGUAUGAUGAACAACUGAGGGAUUGGUGUGGUGGCUUUAAAUUAUUUUUCGUCGCUGCAGAUUUGGCUUCAAGUCUUGGUCUAUUUCUUCUUUUUACUUUAAUCCCACUUUUUAUCCCGUUGAAGCCUUGGUCUUGGUCUAUUUCUUCUUUAUACUGUGAUUAGCGAAUGCGACUGCACAAACUUUUUAUCCCGUUGAAGCCUUGGUCUUGGUCUAUUUCUUCUUUAUACUGUGAUUAGUGAAUGCGACUGCACACACUUUUUAUCCCUUUAUCUAUUUCUUCUUUUUUGACUUGCAGAUUUUGAAGUCUUGGUGUUGGAACCCUCAGUCCCACAUCGGACAGAGGGAGAAGAGAAGAGUGCUUUAAAUAGAAAUACCCCUCUCUAACUAACAUCGAUGUCUUUUGUGAGAAAACCCCACACCUGAGGAUUGUGCAGGUGGUUAAGUGGGGACAGUAUCGGUGUUGUUAGAGUGGGCCCUCGGCCCGUCGACCUGAAAAUUUCCACAUGGUAUCAGAGCCAGGAGGCGGGCCCGUACUGCCACGUGAUUGGGUGGGUCCCCUUUGGCCCCGCGCGAUUGUCCACGUAGGCCAAAGAUGCCACGUGUUUGGGUGGGUCCCCAUUGGCCCCGCGUGAUUGGGUGAGUCCCGACAUGGCUCCACGUGGUUGCCGAUGUGUGGAAAUUCACGUGUGACCCAUAAGUGGGGUCUCACGUGCGGGGGAGUGUUGGAACCCCCAGUCCCACAUCGGACAGAGGGAGAAGAGAAGAGUGCUUUAAAUAUAACUAACAUCGAAGCCUUUUACCUGAGGAUUGUGCAGGUGGUUAAAUGGGAACAGCGUGAUUGGGUGAGUCCCGACAUGGCUUCACGUGGUUGCCGAUGUGUGGAAAUUCACGUGUGACCCAUAAGUGGGGUCUCACGUGCGGGGGAGUGUUGGAACCCCCAGUCCCACAUCGGACAGAGGGAGAAGAGAAGAGUGCUUUAAAUAUAACUAACAUCGAAGCCUUUUACCUGAGGAUUGUGCAGGUGGUUAAAUGGGAACAGUAUCGGUGUUGUUAGAGUGGACCCUCGGCCCGUCGACCUGAAAAUUUCCACACUUGGUCUUUUUCUUUUUCUUUUAACUGUAACCAGUAAUAUUAAAACAUUGCAGAGAUGAAUUAGACAAUGAUGUGCCUUUAAUAUCGUGGAUAAAUCUUCCACGGGAUAAUUUUUGUUGGCUUGACUUGCUUCCUUUGAAGUCUUUCCCCCAUCUUUCCGAUGGAGUAGGUGUGAACUGAGAUAGGUGUAGGGCCGGGGAAUACAGUGUUAGGUAGGUAAGUUGCUUCUACGGUUUGGCAGGACUACAGUAGGAGAGAGAUUCUAUCUUACAAACAGUUUACAUGGCGAGAGAGAUAGAAAGAAGAUUAUAUCAAAAUUGUAGGAACGAGGGAUUUCCAUAUGAUACCUACUACGAUCGUUUCAAUCAUUGAUAAUAAGGAAAACUUAUGAAAAUGACUUGAAAACUUUGAGUUUUAAUGAUAAGGACAAAAUAAAGGGUAAAGUGAAUAGUACCAGGAUUGACUUUUUAGUGUAAAAAUGUGGUUUUUCGUUAAAGUGAACAAUAUCGGGAGCUUUUCGGUAAAGUUCCCUUGAUAAUAUUGGGUCACCCAAAGUUUCUGAAGUUGAAGUUGAAAUAGCGUUGCCACUACAACGCAUUCGUCGACAGCAGGUGUAAAGAAUUCAAUGUAGUUUUGGGUUAGGUCAUACUAGAAAAUGUGCCCGCGCUUCGCUGCGGGGAUUGAAUAUAUUAGUUGGAACAGGAAUGAAUAGUUUCUACAUAAGAGUAACAAAAUUUACGGUACAGUACCCAAGAACCAAUAAAAGAAACAUUCAUUUGCAGGUCGUAUUGUGCCAAUAAUAUCAUACUCAUAGUUUCAAGUAAUCAGACCAUUCCAUGCAGGGAAAAACAAAGAAAAAGGUGUACUAAUUUAACAGUCAUCAUUUGGCAUAAAUUUUUAGUUUUUACAGAAGCUGAAAGAAACUGUGGAGGAGCUGUCUUUUCAUAUCUUUCUCAAUCAAAGCAAAUUGAGCGAUAAACAGAACUUGACCAGUGCACGAAAAACAGAGCAAACAUUUAAAAUCAAAGACUGUACAAACACACAAAAGAAAAGAGAUAAUUUUCUCACAAACAAAAGCCAAAACAAGGGAGAACAAACAAAAGAAGCAUACAACAAUAACAAAGCAUUUUCCUACUAAAUAGGGUCGGCUAUAUGAAUCCUAGAACGUCAUUACGGUCGAUUCUAGGAUAUAAGAUAUAAUGCAUCACAAAUUCAAACAACAUAACCCCUUUUCCUUGCUCAUGUGUUUUGAGUGUCCAUCCUAGAAAGGUGUUAAAAUGGAAUUCAAAAUGCGUGCAUAAGGCAUUGGUUAGUAGGCUUGUUCUUUUCGUUUUUUAAGAAACCUCGACAGUACAAGGAAAAUUUAUUAACCAUAAUGCAGAAAGAUACAAAAUAACUUCCAAACCUAAUUACAACACAAGCUAUAAAUCAAAAUGCGAAACCAUAUUUUAUUUGUUGCAUCUUACCCUAGGCACAACAUGGAGUCCAGCUACUUGCUCCUCAUAAACAUUUCAACGUCUCCACCUCUUAUUUAUGUGAAUAUGUCUUCGAUGAGGACCAAUUCUUUCUUCAAGCUGAGGGAAUAUCCUCACAAGGAUUUUAUACAUAGACCUAUAAUACCAUUUACUCCAUCUCUUGAAGAACACAAGUGACCCAACGGCAACUGCAAAGCCAAAUACAAAUCCAAUUUCGACACUAAUAAGAUCCCAAUCAAUCUCAUCUGUAGAAUAUGGAUGGCUUCCAUUUGAUGUUUGUGGUGGUGACAGUCCUGCUUUAUUAUCCAUCGUCAGCGGAGGCCCCCAUAAUCCUUUGUUCCCUGUAAAUGAGUCUCUUGGAAAUGUUGAAAUUUGAGUACCAGCUGGGAUCUUGCCGACAAGUUGAUUAUUCGAGAGAUUCAGAACUGCAAGGAAAUUAAGCUUUGCCAGUUGUUCUGGGAUUUGCCCGCUCAGCUUGUUCUGUGACAGGUCCAAGGACUCGAGUUGUCGCAUGUUACCAAAUGACGAUGGGAUUUCACCUGUGAAAGCGUUACUUGACAAGUUGAGAAAAUAUAAAGAUUUCAAAUCUCCCAUUUCCUUGGGUAUUGGCCCACUGAAAUUGUUGCAUGAGAAGUCAAUCAAAGUCAAGAUGGUAAGAAUCUUUGCCAGAUCACACUUUAACCUUUGCUUGUAAUCGUCAUAGCAGGCUCAUAAGAAAUAGUAGGCUGAUAAGAAAUUACUACAACCGCUUUGUUAAAAGGGGAUGUAACAAACCCAUAAGAAUAUUCCCUUCUUUUAUAAGGGUUUCUAGAAACAUUGACUGUCGACGGGAAACCAAUAUCUGUGUUAUCCUUCAUUGCUUGCCAUGUUGUCAGAGAGAAUCCUGGUACUUCACCAUUGAAAUUAUUGUAAGCUAAGUCUACGAUUUGAAGAACCGGCCAAGCGGCAUGGGUCUUCACUACUGGACAUCCAAUGCCUCCAUAGAAAUUGUUGGACCUCAAAGCAAGAACCAUCAAGGUGGAGAUAUUCUUCAACAAGCAUGGGAAGGUGUCUGUUAUAUGAUUCUCUGCAAGGUUUAAAAAUAUUAAACUUGUGCACCUGGCUAGAGACUUUGGAAAUUGACCUUCAAUCUGAUUUUGGCUGAGGUCUAGAGCUUCUAAUGACUCAGGAAAUUCAAGAUUAGAAAUCAUUCCAGUAAUGUUGUUUUUCCUGACAUUAAGUAUCAUGAGUGUGCUCAUUGCAGCCAAGCACUGGGGAAUCUCACCACUCAGAGAAUUACUGGACAAAUCAAGAGUGCGAAGACCACUUGCGUUGCAUAUUGAUACUGGAAUACUAGAACUGAAAUGAUUGUUUGAGUAACCCAGAUAUUCGGCAUGUGGUGGGACAAUUGAAAUUGGCCCCUUAAGCUGGUUUGAAUGAAGGUCAAGCUCAGACACAUGAGAUGUGGAGUUGAUGAAAGGACCUUCGAGACUUUCCAAGGCAUUAUUAGAAACAUUUAGGUAAUCAAGAGAAUCGAGCUUCCAUAUCCAAUUGGGUAGCUGGCCUUGAAUUUGGUUGUUCGAAAGGUCCAACUCUGUUAAAUAGGUUUGAUUUCUCAAGAAAACUGGGAAUGUUCUCAACUUGUUAGAAACUAAAUUGAAAUAAACAAUUUGAGGAAAUGAAGAGUAUGAGGAAUUGCUGCCAUUGUAUAAAACCAGCAAGCUAUUGUGCGAAAGAUCAAUCUCCGCCAGAUUUGGCAGCUGAUGAGGACCAUUAAAAGGAAAGGCACUGAAAUUGUUUGAAGAAAGAGUGAGGGUUUCAAGCCCUCGAAAAUUAAAGAUAGACACGGGUACUGGUCCUUCCAAAUUAUUGAAACUCAAAUCAAUUAAAGCAACUAAACUGGAAGAGACGUUAAAAAUUUCAAGGAGUUGCCCGGAGAAAUUAUUAUUGGAAAGUACUAAGUACGGCAACAAGGGAAGAGAAAACAGAGACGACGGAAUGCUCCCCACCAGUUGAUUGUCGUACAAACAGAGAUUUACCAGAUUAAUAAGGUUUUCCCAGUGAAUAGAACUAAUUGGACCAUUAAACAUGUUUGAUGACAGGAGUAAAUUAACCAAUUUCGUUAGGUUUCCGAUUGACUUUGGGAUUGAUCCAGUGAAAUUGCAUCCGGAAAGGUCUAGUGUUGACAACAUGUUGAGGUUGCCAAUAGAGUCGUGCAAUAACCCUGAAAAGCUUGUCCCGCUUAAAAUCAAGGAUCGAAGAGAUCCAUUCUUGGGAAAUUCUGGCAAGGAACCAUGAAGUUCCGUAUUAGAGGAAAGGUCAAGAGUUUGUAGAGUAGGUACCUGAAAGAUCUGCUUCGGAAAUGUUCCACGUAACCCACAGUCACGUAGACUCAAGGUAGUCAACUUUGAAAAAUUGGCAAAGAAUCCUGGAACCGGAGCAGAGAUAUUGUUUUCGUCCAAGUUCAACACUGUCAGGUUUGA
rnacentral:lncRNA from 1 species